UCCUUACAGGGAGUAAUAGAAAAGUAACAGAAUUAAAUCUGUGGUCAAAUUAUUGUAUGAAAUAUUACGUAUUAUAAAUUAUUAUUUAUCUUCAUUUGCGUCGUCGGAUUUUGGAUUUUUAACCUUAACGGUUGACACUAAAUCAUAAUCAAUACAUUUCAUUAUUGAGGCAUUUUCGGUUUUACUAGCAAUAAUAUUACGUUCUGAAGCAAAAAUAAUUCGAACGGGACAAAAAGGAUUUUGUACUUUACUAAUUUCAAAAGCACGGUAUGUGUCGCAUAAUUCUGGGUCUAAAUACUAAUUUUUUUUUGCUGGCUAUAAUGUUAAAUGAAAAAAAAUUCCGAUAGGUACUGAUGGGCAUGCAAUUGUUCAAGGAGGGAAGUAAGCGGGGAGCACAAUUUGAUAUAGAGUAAUUUGAUUUAUAUUUCGUAGGUAUAUGUAACGAAAUGAAAAAAAAGAAAAAAACAAAACCGUUUCCGAGGAGUUUUAUUAUUCGUAUUUUUCCCCCAUCUUGUUCUAAGGUAACCCAGAAAUCAACAAUAAUUAUAACAAAAACGUCUAGUUUUUUCGAUUUACUUAAGAAAAAAAAUCGACUUUCUCAAUGCGCCGACAAUAAUCAUAUUAUGACGCGUGUUGUUAUCGUAAAACACGGUCAUUGUGUAUACUACCCCGAACGAUAUCCGUGCGUACACAACACGUGUGUAGAACACGUAGUAG